ACCGAGUCAUCUCACUGCAGCCCCAGAACAGCCUUUUAUCUUUUUUUUUUCUUUUUACUUUUUUUUCCCAAAGAAGAAAAUUUCCAAGAUGAGAUGCAAAGUCAUUUUUUCUGUCUUCGCAUAAAAGGUUUUUAAUAUUCAUUCUCAAACAUUUAUUUAGUUCCCACAAUGCACAAGAUACAGCAUUAGGUAGGGCUUCUAAAAUAAUGCUGAUAUGAGCAAAUGAAAGAUGAUUUCUGGUUUAAAAGGCCAUAUUAUGAAAAUGUAUGUUUAUUCGGUCCUUGUAAUAUAAAAGGUAGUCACCGAAGCACCUCCCUCUCGUGCAAGUCUGCCCAGAGUAAAGGAGGGGGGCACUGGUGAGAGCUGGGACACGGAUGAGAGCUGGGACACUGGUGAGAGCUGGGACACUGGUGAGAGCUGGGACACUGGUGAGAGCUGGGACACUGGUGAGAGCUGGGACACUGGUGAGAGCUGAGACACUGGUGAGAGCUGGGACACUGGUGAGAGCUGGGACACUGGUGAGAGCUUGGAGAGCUGGGUCGGGGGCUUCGGCUCUUCCCUGGGGGUGUGAGUUCUGCAGCUGGAGACGCUCACUGCUCACGGUGACUUAGCAGCCUCACAGGACCAGGAAGGGAAUAAGACGGCCAGAUAAGAAGCAGUUCAGGUUAACCUCUGUGCUUGUUGGUUUUUUUGUUGUUUUGUUUUUGUUUUUGUCAACUCAACACAAGUCAGAGUCAUUUGAAAAGAGUGAACCCCAAUUGAGAAGAUUGCCCCCUUGAGUUCUCUGUAGACAAGCCUUGGUGAUGACUGCCAGAGGGCCCAGCCUACCGGGGUGAUUCCACAUCCUGGCAUGAGGUCCUGGGGUGUGUAAGUGAGCAAGGUUCUUCCAUGGCUUGUGCUUCAUUCUUGUUCCCCCCACCCCACCCCACUCCCCACUUCCCUCAGCGAGGGACUUAAGAGCUGUGAGGUGAAAUAACCCUUUCCUCCCCAAGUUGCUUUUGGUCAAUGUUUGAUCACAGCAAUAGAAACCCUCCUUGAGACAGCCUCCCAGAAUGCCCUGCCACAGGAUAUACCAGGCAGGCAAGAAACUGGGAUCUGAGCUAUAAGAGAGAGGGCAAAAAUUGAUACAGAAUUCCCUCAGGGGAAGCAGCACUUUUUAUUUCUGAUUUUAUUUCUUUUAAUGGGUGUAGAAAGUUUAGCAUAAUUCCCGAGUUCACUCAACUUUCCCACUCCCGCUCUUGCAGGAGAUGUGUCUCAUCUCCUUAGGGAACUUGGAACCAAAGCGCUGGAUUUGCCAGCCUCUUUUUCUUACCUGCUAGAAGCUAGCUGCUGUCAUGUCAUGCACCCACACUGCUAUGACUAAGUAAAUUUGUCUGAUUGGCUGGUCCUGGUGUUCAGAAAUAGGAAGACCAUUUGCCUACAAACAAAAACUAAUGCCCUCUAACCCAGACUCCAUGAGUAAUAGAGGGAUAUUUCAGUCCUGCGUGUUCUCUGGUUUCAUCCCACAGUUUGAGAUAACUGUAAUAAUCCUGGCACUUAGGGGAGGCAGAGGCAGGUGAUUACCAUCAGUUUGAGACCAGUCUGGAAUUAACAGUAGUUUUCUGGCCAGCCAAGGCUAGGUCUGUGUAAGGAGGACCUGUUUC
rnacentral:lncRNA from 1 species